CAACCUGCCUGCCUUCCUUGCCCGCCCGAGGGGCUGCACAGGCGACACACCCACACGCGCACGGGGCUAUGAUAGGCGAGGGACAGGGACAAGUUGAUAAUGGGGGCGAUGGGUGGGUAAUGGGUUUUGAUAUACCCUCCUUCCCCUCAGGCCCUCACACAGCUCCACUCACCCAUACACGCACUGGGCUAUGAUGGGACAGGGAAGAGUUGGUAAUGGGGGUGUAAUGGGCGAGGUACUAAAGGGAGGGGGUAAUGGUGAUGAUGGAUGAGUGAGUGUACUUCUAAUCAAUCUAAUGGGGUGCUUGCAAUAUACCCACCUCCUCUAUAGACACCUCCACACACACCUACAUUUGCUUAUGAUGGGUGAGGUACAAGGGGUGAAGUGAUAAUGGAUUGAUCGGUUAGUGAGCGUACUUCUAAUCAAUCUAAUGGGGUGCUUGCGAUAUAGCCCCCCCCCCCCCCUCACACACGUCCACACAAACCUACACUUCGUUAUAAUAAGCAAGUGACAAGGGAGCUGUUGUAACAAGGUGAUGGGUGGGUGAAUGUACUUGUAAUGGGGUGCUACUGACACACUCACCCACACACACCUCCACUCACACACCCAUAGACACCUACACACACUCUUUUUUAUCUACAUGUGGUGAGUUACUGGGUGAUGGUGGUGAUGAUAGGUGAGUGAAAGGAGUAAAAGUGAGUAAAUGAAGGGAUACUGAAACCGAGAAAGGGUGAAGGGAGGAGUAAGAGUAUAGGGAGGGACAGGGUGGAUAUAUGUUACACCCUCCGAAUAAGAGAUGGUAACUUGGGUGGUGAUGGUAUGAGGGUGAAGGAAAAGAGGUCGUGGAGAAAAGGAAAAGAUGAGUGAAGAGAAAGAUGAUGACACACAGAAAAGGUGUAGUGAUUCGUUAAGGUAAAGGUGAAAGGAGGGUGAAGGAAAUGAGGUCGUGGAGGGAAGGAAAAGAUGAGUGAAGAGAAAGAUAAUGACACAGAGAAAAGGUGCAGCGAUUCGUUAAGGUGAAGGUGAUAAGAGGGUGAAGGAAAAGAGGUCGUGGAGGGAAGGAAAAGAUGAGUGAAGAGAAAGAUAAUGACACAGAGAAAAGGUGCAGCGAUUCGUUAAGGUGAAGGUGAUAAGAGGGUGAAGGAAAUGAGGUCGUGGAGGGAAGGGAAAGAUGAGAGAAGAGAAAGAUAAUGACACAGAGAAAAGGUGCAGCGAUUCGUUAAGGUGAAGAUGAUAAGAGGGUGAAGGAAAAGAGGUCGUGGAGGGAAGGAAAAGUGAAAAAGAUCAGAGCACGGAGAAAGGGGACAGUGAUACGUAAAACACCUAUACAGAUUUAUAAAGUUUAGGGCAACAUAAGGUGAUGGAAAGAGGACAUGCGGAGAAAGAAAGGGUGAAGGAAGAGAAGCAUAAAGAAGCAAAGAAAAGGGUGGAGUGAUGAGUGAUGUUUAGGGUGACAUGAGGACGAGGUGAUGGGACUAGGAUGGGCAAGUAUACACGUUAACAGAAAGAGGUCGAGAAGGGUGAGUGAGGCAAUGGACAUAAAACGAGGGUGAGGGAAAAACGGAGAAACAAACACGAAGGGAGAAACACGAAAGGAGAAAGGUCACCCGAUAAGCCAAAGGUGGGCAAGGUUGAGGGAGAAAGGGUGAGGAGGAAGGAAAGGGCGAAUGAAGGAGAGGAAGAGGGAAAGAAAGGAUGGCAAGGAUGGAGAAAGACAGAAAGCGUGAAAUAGGGAGACGAAGAAAGAAGGAAAGGGUAAAAAGGAAGAAGAAUGAAGGAGAGACCGAAUGUAUAAAUGAGGGAGAGGAGGAAAAACGGAGUAACUGAAGAGGAGGGAGGAGGAGGACGAGGAGAAGGAAAGGAAGAGAGAAGGAGGAAGUGUGAAUUAAGAAGAUGAAUAUAAAUGGAAAUAAAAGAGAGAAUGAGUGAAGGAGAGAUGAAAAAAAUGGUGUAUUGAAAGCAGAGGAGUGAAUGAAGAAGAGAAGAAGAAACUCUGAAUGAAGAAGACGAAGAAAAAAAAAAAGAA